UUCCCGCUGGCUCCCGCGGAAGCAGUGGGCAGCCUACUGUGCGUGAUAUCGUGCGAUGGGCUACUAGUAUAAUAACAAAAAAAGGGUAAUAUGCAAAUUA